GACGAACGCUGGCGGCGUGCCUAACACAUGCAAGUCGAACGGAGUUGAUCUUCGGAUUAGCUUAGUGGCGAACGGGUGAGUAACGCGUGAGAAACCUGCCUUUCAGUGGGGGACAACAGUUGGAAACGACUGCUAAUACCGCAUAAUGUAUACGGAUCGCAUGGUCUGUAUACCAAAGAUUUAUCGCUGAAGGAUGGGCUCGCGUAUGAUUAGAUAGUUGGUGAGGUAACGGCUCACCAAGUCGACGAUCAUUAGCCGGACUGAGAGGUUGAACGGCCACAUUGGGACUGAGACACGGCCCAGACUCCUACGGGAGGCAGCAGUGAGGAUAUUGGGCAAUGGGCGCAAGCCUGACCCAGCAAUGCCGCGUGAAGGAUGAAGGUUUUCGGAUUGUAAACUUCUUUGUCAAGGACGAUAAUGACGGUACUUGACGAAUAAGCCACGGCUAACUACGUG
rnacentral:rRNA from 1 species